UAGCGCGUGAGCUAAGGGAUCAACAGGCCGAUUUUUCAAACCGCGAGCUGAAUUUUCAAGCACUGACUUGUGCCAUCGCUCAGUAUACAAACACAAUAUAUAGUGGGUGGGUGUUGGACAGAUAACAAGAUAGUGAGUAUUGAGGCUUUUGGCAAGUGAACAAAACGGGAUAAUUGUGUGGAUAACUUGGGGGUUAAUUGUUACGAAUGCCUUAUAAGCUGCGCCAUUACUGGGACUCACUACUUAUCCUUCUGGGGGAUAAGAUUUUGCGGAAAAUCUUAAAAGUUUGAUCGUUUGCCGCUUUAUUAAACAUUCUAAAAGAACCCUGUAAUUUAUCGC
rfam:Yersinia pseudotuberculosis IP 32953, complete genome.